UACGUAGGUGGCAAGCGUUGUCCGGAUUUACUGGGCGUAAAGAGCGCGCAGGCGGUCGUUCAAGUCGCGUGUGAAAGCCCCCGGCUCAACUGGGGAGGGUCACGCGAUACUGAUCGACUCGAAGGCAGGAGAGGGUAGUGGAAUUCCCGGUGUAGUGGUGAAAUGCGUAGAUAUCGGGAGGAACACCAGUGGCGAAGGCGGCUCACUGGUCCGGUACUGACGCUGAGGUGCGAAAGCGUGGGGAGCAAACGGG
rnacentral:rRNA from 1 species